GAGUAUAUAGCCUUGGCCGACAGGCCCGGGUAAUCUUGGGAAAUUUCAUCGUGAUGGGGAUAGAUCAUUGCAAUUGUUGGUCUUCAACGAGGAAUGCCUAGUAAGCGCGAGUCAUCAGCUCGCGUUGACUACGUCCCUGCCCUUUGUACACACCGCCCGUCGCUCCUACCGAUUGAAUGGUCCGGUGAAGUGUUCGGAUGGCGGCGACGGGGGCGGUUCGCCGCCCCCGACGUCGCGAGAAGUCCAUUGAACCUUAUCAUUUAGAGGAAGGAGAAGUCGUAACAAGGUUUCCGUAGGUGAACCUGCGGAAGGAUCAUUG
rnacentral:ncRNA from 1 species